rnacentral:rRNA from 1 species
GAGUAGGAAGGCCGUGCCGGUGGCGUAGAAGGUGUCGGACGUGAGUCUGCCUGGAGCCGCCGGUAGUGCAGAUCUUGGUAGUAGUAGCAAAUACUCAAGUGAGACCCUUGAGGACCAAUGUGGAGAAGGGUUCCAUGUGAACAGCAGUUGAACAUGGGUCAGUCGAUCCUAAGGCAUGCGGGGAAACCCGUACCAAAGUCCCGGAUGUGUUUCGAAAUAACUUAGAGAGAGUUCUAUAACACAGAAAGGAGUCCGAGGUGUAUGCCGAAAGGGAAUUGGGUUAAUAUUCCCAAACCUAGACACGGAGAUAGGUCUUUCGGGACCAAGUGCGGUAACGCAAGCGAGCUCGGAGAAGUCGGCGGGAGUCCUGGGGAGAGUUGUCUUUUCUUUGUAAGGUUUUGAUUCCCUGGAAUCGGUUUACCCGGAGAUAGGGAGGAAGAAACCGUAAAGCACUGCGGCUCUUGCAGUGUCCAGAGUGCUCUUGUCGGCCCGUGAAAAUCCGAGUGAGAGAGUGUUAUUUUCGUGCUAGCUCGUACCCAUAUCCGCAGCUGG